rnacentral:rRNA from 1 species
UACGGAAGGCAGCAGUGGGGAAUAUUGCACAAUGGGCGCAAGCCUGAUGCAGCCAUGCCGCGUGUAUGAAGAAGGCCUUCGGGUUGUAAAGUACUUUCAGUCGUGAGGAAGGUGUUAAGGUUAAUAACCUUAGCAAUUGACGUUAGCGACAGAAGAAGCACCGGCUAACUCCGUGCCAGCAGCCGCGGUAAUACGGAGGGUGCGAGCGUUAAUCGGAAUUACUGGGCGUAAAGGGCACGCAGGCGGUUAAUUAAGUUGGAUGUGAAAUCCCCGGGCUUAACCUGGGAAUGGCAUUCAAGACUGGUUAGCUAGAGUCUUGUAGAGGGGGUAGAAUUCCAUGUGUAGCGGUGAAAUGCGUAGAGAUGUGGAGGAAUACCGGUGGCGAAGGCGGCCCCUGGACAAAGACUGACGCUCAUGUGCGAAAGCGUGGGGAGCAAACAGGGAUUAGA